AUUUAUCUACUGCUAGUUAAAUCUCUGGAUUUAACUCUGAUGAAAGACCUGAGGCUGAAGGGGAACUUCAAUGUCAUAUAUUUUAAAGGUUGACUCACAGUUUGGAGCAAGAAUUAAAGAACCACGAACAUCAAGGCUGGAUGAAGUGGCUCAUGCCUGUAAUCCAAGCACUUUGACAGGCUGAGGCGGGCGGAUGGCUUGAGCCCAGGAGUCUGAGACCAGCCUGGAAAACAUAGAGAAACCCUGUCUCAAUAUAAGAAGAAGAAGAAAAAGAAAAAAAAAAAUCAAAAACGAAAACAACACAAAUUUUAGAGUGAUGUAAAAUUCUCAAACAAUGAGAUAGAUAAAAAGUACGCAGCCAAAAAAUGCAGGAAGAAGUGUUAUAGAGAUGGAGCAGGCCCUUCAUAAAAACACGAUGUUGGUUUUCUGGAUUUUGGAGGCCCCACAAAACCUGGAUCAGACUCGCCCACUGCCCUGUGUCUGCCCGACCAACCACCUCUCCUGCCCAGCAGGGAUGUGGGUGGCAGUGGUGCUGUGUGGAGGGUGGCGGGAGGACUGGGGAGACUGUGACCGGUGAGCCGGGAGGCCUUGGGAUGGCCUCUCUCUGAAUCAUCCUGUGCACUGCCAGAGGCUCCUAGAAUCCUGCCUCAAGUGGCCGCCUUCACAGAGGGAGUCACUCACGUUCCUGCUCAGUGCGGCCCUGGCCUGUGGGGGCCCCUCUACUCACGAGAAACCCCCA
rnacentral:lncRNA from 1 species